ACGAUAAUGUUAUCGUGUGAUAUGACCAACAAAAAUAAUUUUUACUAAUGUUGAUUGAUGUUAUGUUAAGUUUUAACAUAACCUUUUAAACCACAUCGGGUUUAACGCUAAUUCUACGUUGGUACUACUAUCCCAUAUAGUUAAAUAUUUUUAUCCAUUAUUAAGUUGUUUAACUAUCGUGUAGUUACAGUGUUUUAAUGUAACAUUUUAGUAAAUGUUUUAUUUUUACGUCGUAACAAUUAUUAAAUAAUAAUUUAACCUUUUUAGAUGAUAAAAUUGUACUAAAGUUAUAUACCGGGUCAAAUUUUCAUAUAUAAAAAUUGAUACAUCUAAUUGCCAAAUAAUAUUAUCGCGUAAUCCAGAGAAAAGGUACGGACGACCGAGUGGCGCGUAACGCAAUCCCGCAGAUAUAAAUGUAUAUUAGUUAUAGGGUAUUAGAUACUUAACUAUGUGUAUAUAAUGCUAAGACACAAUAGUUAGUUAUAAGAAAGUAUCAAUACAACACAAAUUAACAAAACAAAAGUCACAAAAGUGUAUGCAAAUCAGAACCAAAAAAUAAUCGACCAGUAAAGUUAUACGUCGGAAACGGAACAACACCAAAAAUAACUCACCAGUUGAGGUGUACGUCGAAAACGGAACAGAAAGCAAUAUCGGUAAUCCAUAUUCGGCGGUGGCCUUAUCUCAGUGUCAAGGGCGGGGAGACGACCGAUGACAACCGAUUGUCAUAUUAAUGGCUGGACGGCUGAUAUCGAGAGAGA